CCGAUUCCAAAACCCCGAUAAGGUCCAACAAAAUCUCUUUCCCAGCCUUUUCUUAUACAAUUCCGUCCUUUUCUUGGGCACAAUCUCACCGCCGUUUCCUCACAGAGAUCUUUAAUGGCGGAACCAAAAAAAUGUUAAAUCUCAUCCAAAUCGCCUCAUCGUCACCACCAAAAUCAAUGUUAUUAAGAAGAAUUUUCACUUCAAUUUCUUCUUCUCCUUACAAAACAAAUCUCCAUCGUUCAUUCAUCCCAUUAGCACUCUCUUCAUCAUCAAAUUCACAGGUGAAAUUCCGUCCUCCCUCUUCAAUUUCAAUGUCGUCAUCAUCUGAAAACAACAAUAAUGAUAAAUUGGAUGAAGCAAAGAGAUCAACGAUACUACCAUCAGUAACAGGAUCAACAAAACCUGAAUUACUCAGAGGUAUUGAAUCGGUACUCGGCUCACCAUUCAGCUCCGAUCCAUUCACACCAAAACCUAAUCCGCUCAUAAUCGUGAUUAGCGGACCGUCCGGUGUUGGAAAAGACGCUGUGAUUAAGAAAUUACGUGAAGUUCGUCAGGGAUUGCAUUUCGUUGUGACUGCGACGACACGGGAUAAGCGAAUCGGUGAAGUUGAUGGAGUUGAUUAUCAUUUUGUAAGUAAGGAGAAGUUUCUUGAAUUAGUUGAUUCAAAUGAGUUAUUAGAAUAUGCAUUAGUUUAUGGUGAUUAUAAAGGUAUACCUAAACAACAAAUUAGAGAUUUUAUGUCCAAAGGGAAGGAUAUUAUACUUAGAGUUGAUAUACAAGGUGCAGCUACAUUGAGGAAGAUAUUGGGGGAUUCUGCGAUUUUUGUGUUUUUAGUUGCUGAGAGUGAAGAAGAACUUGUGAAUCGGUUGGUGGAUAGGAAGACGGAAACGAUUGAUACGUUGAUUGUUAGGAUUAAGACUGCGAGGGAAGAGGUUAAACAUAUGAGGAGUUUUGAUUAUGUUGUUGUGAAUGCGGAAGGGAAAUUGGAUAAUGCUGUUAAAUUGGUGGAGUCUAUUAUUGAUGCUGAGAAAGCUAAGGUGUUACAGAGGAGAGCUGUUAUCUAGGUUGGGUUUUUGAUUAUUCGAGGGGGUUUAGUUGAUGACAGCGAAGAAGAGCUUGUGAGUGGAUUGGUGGAUAGGAAGGUGGAAACGAUUGAUAUGUUAAUUGUUAGGGUUAAGACUUGCGAGGGAAAAAUUUAAACGUAGGUGGAAUUUCGAUUAUGUUGUUGUUAAUGGCGAAGGGAAAUUGGAUAAUGCUGUUAAACUGGUUGAGUCUGUUAUUGAUGCUGACAAAGCUACGGUGUUACAGAGGAGAGUUGUUAUCUAGUUUCGCGUUUGGGAUUAUUUUUCGAGGAAAUGAAGAAGUUUCUUUAGUUGAAGACAACCAUGCAGUUGCCAGUUCCAUCAAGACAGAUAAGUGAUGAUUAUAUUUCUGUUGCGGAAGGACUUUCUUGAACAUGGUUAUUGAAGGAUUGUCAGUGAGUACAUUCUGCAGAAGAUAAUUUUCAGUAUCAUUAUUGGAGGACUUUGUUUUAAUAUACGGUUGGAACCUUCAUCUGCUAGUCUUUGUUUUAGGAAAGCUAGGAUGUUGUUUUGGUAGUUAGUUGGUGAAGAAGGGUUUUGAAGUUAAACCCUGUCCAAAUAUGCCUGCAUUUAUACUUUGACAGGUGAAUGAUAACAUCUGUUUCGUGUCCGUUUUUCUGUAACCCCUAUUUCUCCUAGUUGAACCCACAAUUUUUUUUUCAAACUUCUCGAGAUGAACCAUUUUUUUGUUUUAAAAGAGAAAAUGAUGGACCACUAACUAUUAA